rnacentral:rRNA from 1 species
CCUACGGGUGGCAGCAGUCGAGAAUCUUUCACAAUGGGGGAAACCCUGAUGGUGCGACGCCGCGUGGGGGAAUGAAGGUCUUCGGAUUGUAAACCCCUGUCAUGUGGGAGCAAAUUAAGAAGAUCGUACCACAAGAGGAAGAGACGGCUAACUAUGUGCCGGCAGCCGCGGUAAUACAGAGGUCUCAAGCGUUGUUCGGAAGCAGUGGGCGUAACGGGUGCGUAGGCUGUUUCGUAAGUCGUGUGUGAAAGGCGCGGGCUCAACCCUCGGACGGCACAUGUUACUGGGAGACUAGAGUAAAGGAGAGGGAACCGGAAUUCGCGGUGUAGCAGUGAAAUGCGUAGAUAUCGAGAGGAACACUCGUGGCGAAGGCGGGUUCCUGGACAUUAACUGACGCUGAGGCACGAAGGCCAGGGGAGCGAAAGGGAUUAGAUACCCUUGUAGUC